ACUGAAAAAAAAUAAUAAUAAAAAAUCAAGUGUUCAUCAGUGCUGCUUUUCAAAUGAAGUUAUAUCUUUCAGAGUAAUUCUUAUGAAUCAUGAUGUAUGUUUUAUGAUAUCUCAAAUAAUUUCCAAACAGGCCUGUACUCAUGUUGAAAGUGAAAUAUGGAAG